UACGGGGGGAGCAAGCGUUGUUCGGAUUUACUGGGCGUAAAGGGCGCGUAGGCGGCGCAACAAGUCACUUGUGAAAUCUCCGGGCUUAACCCGGAGCGGCCAAGUGAUACUGUCGUGCUAGAGUGCGGAAGGGGCUACUGGAAUUCUCGGUGUAGCGGUGAAAUGCGCAGAUAUCGGGAGGAACACCAAUGUCGAAGGCAGCUCGCUGGGACGUUACUGACGCUGAGACGCGAAAGCGUGGGGAGCAAACAGG
rnacentral:rRNA from 1 species